rnacentral:rRNA from 1 species
CACGUAGGGCGCAAGCGUUGUCCGGAAUUAUUGGGCGUAAAGAGCUCGUAGGCGGUCUGUUGCGUCCGCUGUGAAAACCCAGGGCUUAACCCUGGGCUGGCAGUGGAUACGGACAGACUAGAGGUAGGUAGGGGAGAAUGGAAUUCCCGGUGUAGCGGUGAAAUGCGCAGAUAUCGGGAGGAACACCGGUGGCGAAGGCGGUUCUCUGGGACGGUACUGACGCUGAGACGCGAAAGCGUGGGGAGCGAACAGG